rnacentral:rRNA from 1 species
ACUCCCACAAACCAUCGCGAAUCUUACCCGUACGGUUGCCUCGGCGCUGGCGGUCCGGAAAGGCCCUCGGGUCCUCCCGGAUCCUCGGGUCUCCCGCUCGCGGGAGGCUGCCCGCCGGAGUGCCGAAACUAAACUCUUGAUAUUUUAUGUCUCUCUGAGUAAACUUUUAAAUAAGUCAAAACUUUCAACAACGGAUCUCUUGGUUCUGGCAUCGAUGAAGAACGCAGCGAAAUGCGAUAAGUAAUGUGAAUUGCAGAAUUCAGUGAAUCAUCGAAUCUUUGAACGCACAUUGCGCUCGCCAGUAUUCUGGCGAGCAUGCCUGUUCGAGCGUCAUUUCAACCAUCAAGCUCUGCUUGCGUUGGGGAUCCGCGGCUGCCCGCGGUCCCUCAAAAUCAGUGGCGGGCUCGCUAGUCACACCGAGCGUAGUAACUCUACAUCGCUAUGGUCGUGCGGCGGGUUCUUGCCGUAAAACCCCCCAUUUCUAAGGUUGACCUCGGAUCAGGUAG